GAGAUUUGAGGUGAGAACGGCCUCCUCACGCGCCCACGCUCAAUGCGGGGGCAAAGUAGCACCGGCUGCACGGCAUGCCAUGCGGUCGGUGUGAAGAGAUCCGGAUUUGGGCAUCCCGGCAACGUUU
rnacentral:ncRNA from 20 species